rnacentral:rRNA from 1 species
AACGAACGCUGGCGGCAUGCCUAACACACGCAAGUCGAACGAGACCUUCGGGUCUAGUGGCGCACGGGUGCGUAACGCGUGGGAAUCUGCCCUUCGGUUGGGAAUAACUGAGAGAAAUUUCAGCUAAUACCUUAUAAUGUCUUCGGACCAAAGAUUUAUCGCCGAGGGAUGAGCCCGCGUAGGAUUAGGUAGUUGGUGGGGUAAUGGCCUACCAAGCCGACGAUCCUUAGCUGGUCUGAGAGGAUGAUCAGCCACACUGGGACUGAGACACGGCCCAGACUCCUACGGGAGGCAGCAGUGGGGAAUAUUGGACAAUGGGCGAAAGCCUGAUCCAGCAAUGCCGCGUGAGUGAUGAAGGCCUUAGGGUUGUAAAGCUCUUUUACCCGGGAUGAUAAUGACAGUACCGGGAGAAUAAGCUCCGGCUAACUCCGUG